UUGGCAUGUCGGGUGAUCGCGCGAGUUCCGCUUCGGCGGGACAAGUGAGGAAAGUCCGAACACCAAUCAGCGCUACGCGCUGAUUGUGGGCAGCGGCUAACGGCCGCCGAGAGUACGAUUCGAUGUUUUUGUUCUUAAGACAAAAGUAGCGAAUCCAAGCUCAGGGAAAGUGGCACAGAGACUAUUCCGAUCCUCCUCCGGAGGACACGGGUGAAAAGGUCCCAACGGGAUCGCUCCAUUGCAAGAUGGAUGCGCGCUAAACCCUGCCCGGUGCAAGUACAGCGUCGCGAGCCAUACGGCUCCCUCGAAAAGUUCGUACGCAAAGAUCCAUCCAGUAAUGGACGGGCAAGACAAAUGAUCGCCGCCCUCGCCUUUGCGGGGGUACAGAAUUCGGCUUACAGAUAUGCCAAGUAU
rnacentral:RNase_P_RNA from 2 species